CCUACGGGAGGCAGCAGUGAGGAAUAUUGGUCAAUGGACGCAAGUCUGAACCAGCCAUGCCGCGUGCAGGAAGACGGCUCUAUGAGUUGUAAACUGCUUUUGUACGAGGGUAAACGCAGAUACGCGUAUCUGUCUGACAGUAUCGUACGAAUAAGGAUCGGCUAACUCCGUGCCAGCAGCCGCGGUAAUACGGAGGAUCCAAGCGUUAUCCGGAUUUAUUGGGUUUAAAGGGUGCGUAGGCGGUCGGAUAAGUUAGAGGUGAAAUCCCGGGGCUCAACUUCGGAAUUGCAUCUGAUACUGUUCGGCGAGAGAGUAGUUGCGGUAGGCGGAAUGUAUGGUGUAGCGGUGAAAUGCUUAGAGAUCAUACAGAACACCGAUUGCGAAGGCAGCUUACCAAGCUACUUCUGACGUUGAGGCACGAAAGCGUGGGGAGCAAACAGGAUUAGAUACCCGAGUAGUC
rnacentral:rRNA from 1 species